CAGGACCACAUUAGUGUGAGACUUUUGCCAUGAGUCCAGCCUUGGCAAAUUGGCUAGGAGUGUUCUGAGCUCCUUGAGGCAUGACAAUCCAGGUGUAUUGCUGACGUUCAUGGGUGAAGGCAAACAGAUAUUGGCAUGAGGGGUCAAGGGGUACAUUAGCCAAAUCCACCACUGUGAAGAUCUUGGUGGUAGGUGGGACUCCUGACAGGAGUUAGGAGG